UCCCUCCCCUCUCUGAUGAGCUUCCUUAAUGCUGUCCUGCAAUGCCUGACAUACACCCCGCCGCUGGCCAACUAUCUGCUCUCCCGCGAGCACAGCCAGGCCUGUCGCCAACAAGGCUUCUGCAUGAUGUGCAUCAUGGAAGCGCAUGUUAACAAGGUCCUGCGUUCCUCAGUCAGUGCCAUCCUGCCUUUGGCUGUUCUCAGGGGUUUCAGAUUCAUAGGAGAACAUUUUCAGCUUGGCAGGGAGGAAGAUGCCCAUGACUUCUUAUGCUGUACUGUCAAUGCCAUGCAGAG